GUGGGUUUAGCUCAGUCGGUUAGAGCGCCGCUCUGUGGAAGCGGAGGUCGGGGGUUCAAAUCCCCUAAUCCACCCCA
rnacentral:tRNA from 1 species